rnacentral:rRNA from 1 species
UGGGGAAUAUUGCACAAUGGGGGAAACCCUGAUGCAGCGACGCCGCGUGAGUGAAGAAGUAAUUCGUUAUGUAAAGCUCUAUCAGCAGGGAAGAAAAUGACGGUACCUGAGUAAGAAGCCCCGGCUAACUACGUGCC